rnacentral:lncRNA from 1 species
UCCAGUAGUAUUGCAGUCUGAGACCUGUGAAGCCAUCUACUGUUCCUGACGUGCUUGGGAAGUGCCUGUUGA